CGNCCGCAAGGUUGAAACUCAAAGGANUUGACGGGGGCCCGCACAAGCGGUGGAGCAUGUGGUUUAAUUCGAAGCAACGCGAAGAACCUUACCAGGUCUUGACAUCCCGAUGCUAUUUCUAGAGAUAGGAAGUUACUUCGGUACAUCGGUGACAGGUGGUGCAUGGUUGUCGUCAGCUCGUGUCGUGAGAUGUUGGGUUAANNNNNNNNNCGAGCGCAACCCCUAUUGUUAGUUGCCAUCAUUCAGUUGGGCACUCUAGCGAGACUGCCGGUAAUAAACCGGAGGAAGGUGGGGAUGACGUCAAAUCAUCAUGCCCCUUAUGACCUGGGCUACACACGUGCUACAAUGGUUGGUACAACGAGUUGCGAGUCGGUGACGGCGAGCUAAUCUCUUAAAGCCAAUCUCAGUUCGGAUUGUAGGCUGCAACU
rnacentral:rRNA from 1 species